rnacentral:ncRNA from 1 species
UAUGUGACGAAGACGGGGACAGUAAAUUACUUUAAUCUAUUCAAGCGAUCUAGGAAAUGGUGCGAGCCUAGUAUAGAGAAGUAUUCGAAGAUCACCCUUGAGUUCCUGAACUGAAAAAAGUAGUAAGUUCAGGCGCUUCAUCCACGCUACGGAUGACUAAGCGGGUUUCGUGUUUAUUUACGAACCUAUUAGGGUGGUACCGCGGGAUAACCUUCUCGUCCCUACU